GACGAACCGUGCGAACAUUGUUCGGAUUCACUGGGCUUAAAGGGCGCGUAGGCGGGUGACCAAGUCCGGGGUGAAAUCUUUCGGCUCAACCGGAAAAGUGCCUUGGAUACUGGUCGUCUCGAGGGAGGUAGGGGCAUGCGGAACUUCCGGUGGAGCGGUGAAAUGCGUAGAUAUCUGGAGAAACACCGGUGGCGAAGGCGGGUCUCUGGGCAACAACUGACGCUGAGGAGCGAAAGCGUGGGGAGCGAACAGG
rnacentral:rRNA from 1 species